AUUGAACGCUGGCGGCAGGCCUAACACAUGCAAGUCGAACGAGUGGCGGACGGGUGAGUAAUGUCUGGGAAACUGCCCGAUGGAGGGGGAUAACUACUGGAAACGGUAGCUAAUACCGCAUACUAUCGGAUGUACCCAUAUGGGAUUAGCUUGUAGGUGAGGUAACGGCUCACCUAGGCGACGAUCCCUAGCUGGUCUGAGAGGAUGACCAGCCACACUGGAACUGAGACACGGUCCAGACUCCUACGGGAGGCAGCAGUGGGGAAUAUUGCACAAUGGGCGCAAGCCUGAUGCAGCCAUGCCGCGUGUAUGAAGAAGGCCUUAGGGUUGUAAAGUACUUUCAGCGGGGAGGCGUUACCCGCAGAAGAAGCACCGGCUAACUCCGUGCCAGCAGCCGCGGUAAUUC
rnacentral:rRNA from 1 species